ACGAACGCUGGCGGCGUGCUUAACACAUGCAAGUCGAACGGAAAGGCCCUGCUUUUGUGGGGUGCUCGAGUGGCGAACGGGUGAGUAACACGUGAGUAACCUGCCCUUGACUUUGGGAUAACUUCAGGAAACUGGGGCUAAUACCGGAUAGGAGCUCCUGCUGCAUGGUGGGGGUUGGAAAGUUUCGGCGGUUGGGAAUGGACUCGCGGCUUAUCAGCUUGUUGGUGGGGUAGUGGCUUACCAAGGCUUUGACGGGUAGCCGGCCUGAGAGGGUGACCGGCCACAUUGGGACUGAGAUACGGCCCAGACUCCUACGGGAGGCAGAGGUGGGGAAUAUUGCACAAUGGGCGGAAGCCUGAUGCAGCAACGCCGCGUGCGGGAUGACGGCCUUCGGGUUGUAAACCGCUUUCGCCUGUGACGAAGCGUGAGUGACGGUAAUGGGUAAAGAAGCACCGGCUAACUACGUG
rnacentral:rRNA from 1 species